AGUCAUCUACUUAAAUGAUUUUUUUGUUAAAAGCUAUCAUCAUUGCUUAUCAUACAUAUGGUUUCUAUUAAAUCUAUUUUUGAUGAAAACUACUUUUGAUCUUCUGAAAAAUAGAAAAUAAACUAUUGCAUAUCUUUCAUAUUUUUCAGUCGUACAUAUUAUGCUUGAUAUGUUCUUAUGAAAAUAAUGCCAAAUCUGAUAAAGAUAUUUCUAUCAUUGGAUAUCAUUCAUCAAGCAAUGCAUAUAGAAUAUUCAAUGAAAAGAUUCUAGUUGUAGAAAUAUCAAUUCAUUUUAUUCUUUAUGAGACUAAUGAUCUUUCAUGAAGACACUAAAAUCAGAUUAUUUAACAUGUAUAUGAUUAAUCUUUUUGCAUACAUAUAACAAUCUGAAACUAAAACACUUAAGAAUGAACAAGAUUAUAAUUGGUCAAGUUAAACUAAAUCAUUUUUUUUAAAGAGAUAGAAUUUGAAAUCUUACCGAUGAAAUCUGAAAACUU
rnacentral:lncRNA from 1 species